rnacentral:rRNA from 1 species
GACGAACGUUGGCGGUGCGCUUAAUGCAUGCAAGUCGAGGGAGAUCCAGUCGUUCCGUAAGGCGCGGCUGGGGAAACCGGCGAACGGGUGCGUAACACGUGAGGAACCUGCCCCGAAGACCGGGGUAGCCCGGGGAAACCCGGAUUAAUACCGGAUACCCUCUUUGGACCACAUGGUCUGUUGAGGAAAUGGUCCGCUGCUUCGGGAUGGCCUCGCGGCCUAUCAGCUUGUUGGUGAGGUAAUGGCUCACCAAGGCAAAGACGGGUAGCUGGUCUGAGAGGACGAUCAGCCACACUGGGACUGAGACACGGCCCAGACUCCUACGGGAGGCAGCAGCAGGGAAUAUUGCACAAUAGGCGAAAGCCUGAUGCAGCGACACCGCGUGCGGGAUGAAGGCCUU